UACGUAGGGGGCUAGCGUUGUCCGGAAUCAUUGGGCGUAAAGCGCGUGUAGGCGGUCCGGUAAGUCCGCUGUGAAAGUCGGGGGGCUCAACCCUCGGAUGCCGGUGGACUACUGUCGGGCUUGAGGUACGGAAGAGGCGAGUGGAAAUUCCUGGUGUAGCGGUGAAAUGCGGUAGAGUAUCAAGGAGGAACACCGGUGGCGAAGGGCGGGGAUCUCC
rnacentral:rRNA from 1 species